rnacentral:lncRNA from 1 species
UUUUUUUUUUUUUUUUGCUUUUUUCGAGACAGGGUUUCUCUGUAUAGCCCUGGCUGUCAUGGAACGCACUCUGUAGACCAGGCUGGCCUUGAACUCAGAAAUCCGCCUGCCUUUGCCUCCCAAGUGCUAGGAUUAAAGGCGUGCGCCACCAUCGCCUGGCUUCUGCCAAAUUUCUUAUAAAUUUAUGUUUUUCUUAGUAUUAAUUCUAUUUAGCAAGUAGAUGCUGGUCUAUGAGUUCAAGGCCAGCCCAGUCUAGCUAGUUCCAGGACAGUCAGGGCCAUGUAAUUAAGAUAACUUGUCUCAAACAACAACAACAGAAAGUAUUUAUGUUACACUAUGGCCUUCUUAAAUUACUAAAUUACAAAAACAACUUUAGAAACUCUAAUUCAUUUCUGUAAGUGACCACUAACCAUAAAUGAAUCAUAAAUUUUAAAACAAUAUUAUCUUUCUUAAUUCAGUUAGAAAGUUCCCUCCCUCCCUCCCUCCCUCCCUCCCUCCCUCCAACCCUUCUUUCUUGCCUCCCUCCCUCCUCUCUUCCCUUCUUCCCUCCUCUCUGUCUUUGUCACUCUCUUUCUCAUUUAUUCAUUCAUUGUAUUGUUUUUUCAAAGACAAGAUCUUACUAUGUAACCUUGGCUGUCCUGAAACUUGUGUCUACCAAACUGACCUCCCACUCAAAGAGAUCUACCUACUCUGUCUCCCAAGUGCUAGGAUGAAUGGCAUUUCCCACCACGCCCAGCCCACUGUCUAAAUUUUAUUCUGAGAUAGUUUAAAGUCUGUUAGGAUGCCAGUAGCACUUACAGCUGUGUUUAAAGACACAGAAGCCUUCUCUUGUAUGGUUGCUUUUCUAAGGUUUUUCUCCUAUAUUUAUAGAUGAUUUUACUGACAAGAGUGAGAAAUUGGUGAGAUUUUGAUUGACAGAAACUUAAGUUUUUGAAGGGGUUGAAUAAAAUUUGUGCAUGUUGCUUGGUCCUCUACCUUAUUUUCUAAAUGAAAGUCCAGUAUGUGUUUUGAAGUUAUAUACUGUUUUUGGCAAAGGAUAGAAGAAAAGUAUUAUUUCCAGUGACAUUUUUAAUUAGGAAUAAUACACUCUCUGGGUGUAAUGUACACCAUUAAAGAGAAAGGGGAGUACAUCUGUAUUAUGUACAGAACAGGCUGUUCCUGAAAUCUAGAUGAACUUGAAUGGAUUGGUGUUCCUGUGUGGUGUGAGGCUUAAUGAAGUACUGCAGCCUCACCAGUAGGCUUGCCCACUAGCCAGUGCCUCAGCCUCGCUGCUCUCAGCAUCACCAGAUUAGGUUAAGUCUGGGAACUGCUUGAUAAACAAGCUCUGUAGAUGGUUGCUGUGCACAGUAAAGUUCAAGGCAGACUAGGUCUGUAGUCAAUAGUUUCCUGUGCUGGAAGCUAAAACAAGCAUAAGCUGUGUUCUGUGUUCGUAAAUGGUAAGGAUUUUGCUAGAGGGAGUGAGAACAGAAAAAAUACUUUAAAAAUUUUAUUAUUUUUUUAUUUUUGUGUGCAUUAGUGUUGUGGCUUCAUGUAUGUUUGUAUAAGGGUGUCAGAUCUUGGAGUUACACACAGUUGUGAGUUCACAUGUGGGUGCUGGGAAUUGAACCCGGGUCCUUCUGGAGAGCAGUGCUCUUUAGCAGUGCUCUCUAAGCCAUUUCUUCAGUCUCAGAACAAAAAAUUAACCUAGGGAAAGAGAUACUGGCUCUAAAAUUAUCCUCAGGUCAUCUUUUAGUAUUUUAUUUUCCACUUAAAACAUUUUGAAAUUAAAAUAUAAUUACUUUUCCUCUCUCCAUUCCCUCUUUUUAGUCACACAUGAAUAUAUAAAUACAAAUUGUUUAGUCUGUUGAGUGUUACCUGUAUUGUGAUUUCAGAGCUGACCAAUUAUUUUCUGAGGCAGAAUCUUACUAUGUAACCCUGGCCUGGAACUUCCUAUGUAGACUUCAUUGGCCUCAAACCCACAUAGAUCUUUUGUUUCUGUCUCAUGAGCCACCACAUGGGACAUAUUUUAAAAUUAUUAUAAGAAUUUUAUGAGUAUUUGCCUACCAUGUAUAUAUACUUGCCAUAUAUGUGUGCUAGAUGUGUGCCACAUGUAUGUCAGGUCCCUUUGGAAGUCAGAAGAGGACCUCAGAUCUUCUGGAACUAGAGUUAUAGUAACUGAGUGAGCAUCAAGUGGGUGCUGGGUAUUGAACCCAGGGCUCUCUAGAGGAGCAGCCUGUGUUUUUAACUGCUGAGCAAUCUUUCCAGCCCUUCAGGCCCCCUUUUAGAUAUCUGUUCCAUCUAAGUUAUCAUCUGUAAUAUUUCAUACUUAGGAUUUUGCAGAUUUUUUCCCAGUGGGUUAAUUUUUUAAAAUGUCACUUCAACCUAACAUGAUUAUUAAUGAGGUUAUAAAUUUUAUAUUUAUCAUAUAUAUUAAAUCUUAAAAUUACAUGUUGAAAAUAAUUGUAUAAAUACUAAAAGAAAAUGAUGUAUAGAAACUUAAUAUUUAAAACUAUCCUCUAUUUAACCAAUUGUAUAUAUACAGUAAUAGGAUUGUAACUCAUAAUUGUACAGAAGGAAGGGGAAUCAUGAUUAACUUUUAGUUGAGAAGUAGAAAGCAACCAUUUAUAAAGUGGCCCGGAAAAUCAGCUGACUAGUACAUUUUAAAUUUAGGUUUUGUAAUUUUACAAUUGAAUCAUUUUAAAGGUACUCUUUUUCUUUCUAAUAUGUACCCUACUUACCAAGAAAAUAAGAAAAAAAUAUCUUUAAACCCAAUAGCAAUGAUCUAAACUUUAUAGUGAGGCAUUGUUUUCUGUUAUGAAACUUUUGUUUGUGGAGGCUUGAAGAACCUAAGAGAACAUUUUCUUUUUUUAACUGAGUAAAAGUGACCACAGCAUCCAGGUCUUUCUAAGGCAAAUUGAAUAAGUUUAACUUCCAAUUUUUUAAUUUAAAUGUUCUCAAUAGUACAACAAAUAAUUUAAGAUUGGUUUUAUUCCUAAGAAGACAGAUUUCUAUUUCUGCUUUCUUUUGUCUGAUAGCUGAAGUCUGGGAUCAGGAGUUUGAUCCUGUCAUGGUCAUUCUUCGAACCGUUUACCGCCGAGACGUGCAGUCUGCAAUGGACAGAUACACAGCAUUGUGAGUCUAACACGCUGACUAGUGUCAUUACAGAGUAAUUGGGGUUUCUGUAGAGACGUUUUAGUUAUAACACAUGAUAUGGUCAUUUAACAGUUUAGACACAUACACGGGCUAGUUGGUUGCCCUGGACACAUGGGUAGCAGAGGUCUGCCUUGUAUGGCCUUGAUGGCAGAGGAUGCUCUUAAUCCUGUGAAAACUUGAUGCCCCAGGGAAGAGGGGUGCUGCUGGGGAUGAGGUGGGGUGGGCAGGUGAAGCACCCUCUCUAGGUGGGGUGUGUGCGAAGAACUUGCGAAGAAGGGACCAGGAAAAGGGGCAACUUUUGGAAUGUAAAUAAAUAAAAUAAUUUAAUAAAGGUUAAAAAAAACUAGAUUAUUUUCUCAGGAUCUUUAUAAAAUUUUGUUAUUAAGCUAGAUGAAGUAUGUCAUCUUGUAAUCCCAGCAACUCCAGGAAGUUCUUGAGUUCAAGGCCAGCCUGGGCUGUACAGUGAGAUCUCUGUUCAAGAAACAAAGCAAACUUUGCUAUUGACCUGAUAAAGUAACUAUCAUGAAAUAUGAUUACU